rnacentral:rRNA from 1 species
UACGGGGGGGCAAGCGUUGUUCGGAAUUACUGGGCGUAAAGGGUUCGUAGGUGGCCUGCUAAGUCACACGUGAAAUCCCUCAGCUUAACUGGGGAACUGCCUUGAUACUGGGUGUCUUGAGUGUGAGAGAGGUAUGGUGGAACUCCGAGUGUAGAGGUGAAAUUCGUAGAUAGUCGGGAGGAACACCAGGUGGCGAAGGCGACCACCUGGACUGAUACUGACACUGAGGUGCGAAGCGUGGGAGCAAACAGG